UCAGGGUAGAGAGAGAGAAAGAGGGAAAAAAAAGUUUUGCAGAAUCUGUUCCUGCUGAGUUGGAGAAUUCUUAACAUUCUAAAUCCUCUCUCUCCUUCUCUUUUUUGUCAUCUAUACCUCAGGCCAGUACAGGAACAAGCACCCUCAACACCAGCCUUCAUCACUUGGUGCAGAGAGCACUGGGAGGUGUGUAAUGUGGGCUCUUGUCCACUGGCCACCAAGCCCGAGGGAGACAGACUACGCAGAGCAUUUGACAUCUAAUAAGCCUAAUACAGAAUUGAUUAGGAUCAAACCUACACCCCCUGCACUGGAAGGCAAAGUCUUAACCACUGGACCACCGGGGAAGUCCCAGAGACAUCGCUAUUUCUGACUUUUACUUCAAAAUUUCUGAAAACCAAGGGAAGGUUUCAGGCUAAGACUCUUAAUUCUAGCCCAGCUUGUUGCUGCUGCAUUGUCGAGUUCCUCGUGGGUAACGGAGGCAGGAAUACUCUAGUGGCUGCCACCACAUGGGGAUAAUCAUCAAGAGCCAAAAAUAUUUUAAUUGCCUUGUAACCUCUCCUUAGCUGUGAAACAAGGUGGCCUUUAUAGCUACCCCCUGGAGAGACUAAACAAGGGGGCCAGAACUGUUUUGAAUGGAAAGCUAUAAAGUCCAAGCAUUUAAAAGGAGUGUUACUCUGUAAUCACCGUGGCUAUUUAUAGAGCUGGCCUCCAGGCUUACUGCCACACAGAGAACGCUUCUCUGAGACUGCACUUACCAUCUGACCUUGCUGAGGUUGAAGGUAAUGUCCUAGAGGGACCUGCAGUAGGAAGAAGCCUGGGUGGGCCCUGUGAUGUUGCAGUCACUCACCAAGGUUGCCCAGGAAGGGGACCAGGACUUGAACCCAGGUUGGAGACUUGUGCUGCACCAAGCCCUGUGAGGAGGAAGGCCACACGCACUGCUGAAAAUGAGAGAGCUGGUUCCAGUUCAAAGCCUUUCACCGACCUGAGCGCUCAGCCAGAAGUUCUGCAUCUGCAGCCCAUUAGCUCUCCCGAUAGCAUUUUGUUAUUCUCCUUGCAGCAGGAAAAACAAACAGCUGUCCCUCCCACAGUCUCUGCCUUCCUCCGAGGGUCGAAGAGGCUCUCCCCCAGGUGACCCCCUGCGACCCCAUUGAGUUCCUUCCUCUGCAGUGGCCUUGUCCUCCCAGUUGUCUAGUCUGGUCACCACCCUCCCGUUUCUGGCAGUUUCUGAUACUCCCCAUCCCCCUCUCCCUGUUCUGUCUCGCUUUUCCCAGGUCCUAGACCCAGCGCUUCACAAUGGAUGCCGGUUGCCAGUGAUUUCCACGUUUGCUUUCUCCCACAGCAUGUAGGACAUUCAUUGUGGGCCACUUUCAGCAUCACUGUCAGGGGGCAGCUUCAGCUUCAGGGAGGAGGUUGCAGGUGUGAUUUGGGGCUUUGGCUUCUCUCCCUGUAAUCUGCAUUGGAUCUCUCCCAAGCCAUCCCCAGCAGACAGAAUCAAUGUGGAGACUGUGUUCACAAUGCAGAUACAGCUCCCCUUUCAACCAGACUGCCAUCCUUAAGCUCCUAACUGGCACAGACUGGCGAUCUGGAAUGCUGCUUAGUUUUUGGCAUUGGGCUCUCUUGGAGGAAUUUAUUCCAAGACUAGAGUUGCCUAUAGGAAGUAAGCUAAUUUAGCACCUCCCUGGGUGAGCCACUCUUAGCUGCUUCUUCAUUCCUUUUUGUGAUGUCAAAGCAUGACCCAGGCCCAUUGAUUCCAGUGGUGUCCGAUAUGUAGCACUAGCCCUUUGUGGCUAAGUGAAAUAUGGUUGUUGUUAAUUGAGAUGUGCUGCAAGCAUAAAAUACACACUGUAUAUUGAAGACUUAGUAUCAGAUGAUAAAAAACAUUGUUAAUUACAUGUUGAAAUGUUAAUAUUUUAGAUAUACUUCAUUAAAAUAUCUUACUACUGUCAAAUUCACUUACCUCUUUUUACUUUUUAAAAUGUGCUACUAGAAAAUUUAGAAUUAUAUGUCACCUGCAUCAUAUUUAUUUCU